rnacentral:rRNA from 1 species
GACGAACGCUGGCGGCGUGCCUAAUACAUGCGAGUUGAGCGCUGAAGGUUGGUACUUGUACCAACUGGAUGAGCAGCGAACGGGUGAGUAACGCGUGGGGAAUCUGCCUUUGAGCGGGGGACAACAUUUGGAAACGAAUGCUAAUACCGCAUAAAAACUUUAAACACAAGUUUUAAGUUUGAAAGAUGCAAUUGCAUCACUCAAAGAUGAUCCCGCGUUGUAUUAGCUAGUUGGUGAGGUAAAGGCUCACCAAGGCGAUGAUACAUAGCCGACCUGAGAGGGUGAUCGGCCACAUUGGGACUGAGACACGGCCCAAACUCCUACGGGAGGCAGCAGUAGGGAAUCUUCGGCAAUGGACGAAAGUCUGACCGAGCAACGCCGCGUGAGUGAAGAAGGUUUUCGGAUUGUAAAACUCUGUUGGUAGAGAAGAACGUUGGUGAGAGUGGAAAGCUCAUCAAGUGACGGUAACUACCCAGAAAGGGACGGCUAACUACGUG